UAUUGGUCAAUGGCCGGAAGGCUGAACCGGCCAAGCCGCGUGAGGGAGGAAGGCGCAGAGCGUCGCAGACCUCUUUUGCCGGGGGACAAAAGGCCGGACGUGUCCGGUCCUGAGGGUACCCGGAGAAAAAGCAUCGGCUAACUCCGUGCCAGCAGCCGCGGUAAUACGGGGGAUGCAAGCGUUAUCCGGAUUUAUUGGGUUUAAAGGGUGCGUAGGCUGUGAGGUAAGUCAGCGGUGAAAUGCCCCCGCUCAACGGGGUGAAGUGCCAUUGAUACUGCCUUGCUGGAAUGCGGAUGCCGUGGGUGGAAUGUGUGGUGUAGCGGUGAAAUGCAUAGAUAUCACACAGAACACCGAUUGCGAAGGCAUCUCACGAAUCCGCGAUUGACGCUGAUGCACGAAAGCGUGGGUAUCAAACAG
rnacentral:rRNA from 1 species